AUUGAACGCUGGCGGCAGGCCUAACACAUGCAAGUCGAACGAGUGGCGGACGGGUGAGUAAUGUCUGUGAAACUGCCCGAUGGAGGGGGAUAACUACUGGAAACGGUAGCUAAUCCCGCAUACCAUCAGAUGGACCCAGAUGGGAUUAGCUAGUAGGUGGGGUAACGGCUCACCUAGGCGACGAUCCCUAGCUGUUCGGAGCGGAUGACCAGCCACACGGGAACUGAGACACGGUCCAGAUUCCGCCGGGAGGCAGCAUUGGGGAAUAUUGCACAAUGGGCGCAAGCCUGAUGCAGCAAUGCCGCGGGGAUGAAGAAGGCUUUGGGGUGGUAAAGUACUUUCAUCGAGGAGGCGUUACUCACAGAAGAAGCACCGGCUAACUCCGUGCCAGCAGCCGCGGUAAUUC
rnacentral:rRNA from 1 species